GGCCUCGUAGCUCAGCUGGCAGAGCGUGCGCGUACAAAGCGUAGGCGGCGUCCAUGCAUGUGGGUUCGAUUCCCACCGAGGCUA
rnacentral:tRNA from 1 species